UACGAAGGGGGCUAGCGUUGCUCGGAAUUACUGGGCGUAAAGCGCACGUAGGCGGCUUUCUAAGUCGGGGGGUGAAAUCCUGGAGCUCAACUCCAGAACUGCCUUCGAUACUGGAGAGCUUGAGUCCGGGAGAGGUGAGUGGAACUGCGAGCGUAGAGGUGAAAUUCGUAGAUUAUUCGCAAGAACACCAGUGGCGAAGGCGGCUCACUGGCCCGGUACUGACGCUGAGGUGCGAAAGCGUGGGGAGCAAACAGG
rnacentral:rRNA from 1 species